AAAUCAUAUAUAUUAAAGACCAAGAAAUGGUGACAAAAUAAUACAAAUAUUGUUAAAAAAAAUAAUUUAACCAGUUGCUAAUUAGUAUAAAGUGCUACAUGAGUAUAAAAACAUAUACAUUAACCUCAUUUAGUAGCCAAGAUAGUGAUGCACUUCUUACGAAACCUUACUCGUAUAAUGGAGGAAACAAACUACUCUUCAUGAUUGUCUCGAGAGCCAUCGAUCCUAAUUGUAAUUGCCUCAUUGGGAUCUAAAGUCGGGCCUUCCUUGACGAGUAAAUGUAGUGAAAGAAAUAUCACCAUCUACAUCCUUUUUUAGGCCAAUGAAUAGCAUUUGCAAACCUGGGAACACAAACCAGUAACAUCACUAUAAGAAAAUCUAGUGUAUAUAUAUAGUCAAAUUCAGUGAACAAAAUUAAAGUAUAUACAUACCACGUAAUAGGGAAACAAGUAUAAUAAAUAAAAUAAAGUGUGAUUUCUCAUUUUAUAACAAAUUAUAUAUUAUAUAAUGGUAAAAAAAAAUGUUGGUAUGAUUCUUAGUUACUUAAUUUAGACAAGGCAUAUGGAAUCAAAAUAGCUAAUGUACUUGGUUGGAACUUACCAGAUUCCACAAGACCCAUUAGAAUAAAUGUCUGCAUUAAAAAAAAUUAAGCCUACUGUCAAAAUAAAUUAUGGAUGUGUACAUGUAAAAUAAAUUUGAAUAGCAUAUAUAUAAAGGGUAAACAUAUGAAUAUUAUCCUUGCAAUUUGAUCUAUUUCCAAAAAAACAAUAAUAUGUUUGUAGUAUAAAACAAACCGGGCAUUUCACCUCACCCCUGUCUCAGACUCAACCAAAUAGUCGAAGUAUGUACAUCAAAAUUCAGUAUAUUGGUUGCCGAAUUGACAACUCUCAUUCACUAAUAAUUUCAUUGUGUAAUUUGUAAAAAUUAUAGAUAGAAGUUGGUUGACCAAACAAGCUGUUUAAAUUGUUCUUUUAUCUUGUCAAUCAAACUACUGAAGUUGUUGUAGUUGUUGUAGCAAACGAGCACCCUAGUCCAUACUCAGUCUAGAUCUAUUACCUAGCCCCUACAAAGUCUUGACUAAAACAAUAAACCAUGCAAGUCACAUUUAUCAUAAUUUAAGUCUCAACUAUAAGAUUGUCAGGAUAAAUCUCCAACAAAUAAAAACCAACAACUCCUUAAUAAGUCUCAUAGAGUACUAUUAUGAUACUCUAUAUUCAAUGGGGAUUGUCAUCCCCUGUUCAUUCUACGCCAUUCUCAAUACUUAAAUGUUUUUUUCUUCUUUUGUUUUACCCAAAUAAGUAUAAGUUAAGAAUACUAAUCUUCAUCUUUACCAAAAUUAGAAAAAAAAUGGAGAAAUGGAAAGGGGUGGUUAUAAACGUACCUCUGCCCUUCCCCAUUAUUGUAUCAUC
rnacentral:lncRNA from 1 species